rnacentral:rRNA from 1 species
GAUAACGUUGGAAACAGUGGCUAAGACUGGAUAGGAAGAUAAAAGGCAUCUUUUAUCUUUUUAAAGACCUAGUAAUAGGUAUGCUUUAGGAGGGGCUUGCGCCAUAUUAGUUAGUUGGUAGGGUAAUGGCCUACCAAGACGAUGAUGUGUAGCUGGACUGAGAGGUUGAACAGCCACAUUGGGACUGAGACACGGCCCAAACUCCUACGGGAGGCAGCAGUAGGGAAUUUUCGGCAAUGGAGGAAACUCUGACCGAGCAACGCCGCGUGAAUGACGAAGUACUUCGGUAUGUAAAGUUCUUUUAUCAAGGAAGAAAAGCAAAUGGCGAACCAUUUGUUUGCCGGUACUUGAUGAAUAAGCCCCGGCUAAUUAUGUGCCAGCAGCCGCGGUAAGACAUAAGGGGCAAGUGUUAUCCGGAAUUAUUGGGCGUAAAGGGUGCGUAGGCGGUCUAGUAAGUCAGUGGUGUAAUGGCAACGCUUAACGUUGUCCGGCUAUUGAAACUGCUAAACUUGAGUUAGAUAGAGGCGAGUGGAAUUCCAUGUGUAGCGGUAAAAUGCGUAAAUAUAUGGAGGAACACCAGAGGCGUAGGCGGCUCGCUGGGUCUUAACUGACGCUGAGGCACGAAAGCGUGGGGAGCAAACAGGAUUAGAUACCCUGGUAGUCCACGCCGUAAACGAUGAGUACUAAGUGUCGGGUUAAACCGGUACUGAAGUUAACACAUUAAGUACUCCGCCUGAGUAGUACGUACGCAAGUAUGAAACUUAAAGGAAUUGACGGGACUCCGCACAAGCGGUGGAUCAUGUUGUUUAAUUCGAAGAUACCCGAAAAACCUUACCAGGUCUUGACAUGUUUUUGCAAAAUGAUAGUAAUAUCGUGGAGGUUACCAGAAACACAGGUGGUGCAUGGUUGUCGUCAGCUCGUGUCGUGAGAUGUUAGGUUAAGUCCUAAAACGAGCGAAACCCUUAUCGUUAGUUGCCAGCACGUUAUGGUGGGGACUUUAACGAGACUGCCAAUGAUAAAUUGGAGGAAGGUGAGGAUCACGUCAAAUCAGCAUGCCCCUUAUGACCUGGGCUACAAACGUGAUACAAUGGCUGUUACAAAGGGUAGCUGAAACGCAAGUUCUUGGCCAAUCCCCAAAAACAGUCCCAGUCCGGAUUGAAGUCUGCAACUCGACUUCAUGAAGUUGGAAUCGCUAGUAAUCGCGAAUCAGCAUGUCGCGGUGAAUACGUUCUCGGGGUUUGUACACACCGCCCGUCAAACCACGAAAGUUGGCAAUAACC